CAGGCCGACCGGGUGACCGCGCCCCUGCUCGUUCAGGGGUGAGGAAAGUCCGCCCUCCACAGGGCGCGGUGCUGGCUAACGGCCAGACGGGGUAACCCGAUGGAACAGUGCCACAGAGAAGUGCAUUGCCCGCAAGGGUGAGGGUGAAACGGCGGUGUAAGAGACCACCGGCGCGGUCAGCGAUGGUCGCGGCCAGGCAAACCCUACCGGGAGCAAGGCCAAGCAGGUGCAUUGGGGCGGCCCGUCCCGCAAAAAGCACCGGGUAGGCUGCAUGACACGGUCGGUAACGACCGGACGAGAGAGAUGGUCACCACCCCGCAAGGGGUACAGAAGGCGGCUUAAACGUUGACCUGAACA
rnacentral:RNase_P_RNA from 1 species